AUUGAACGCUGGCGGCAUGCCUUACACAUGCAAGUCGAACGGCAGCACGGGGCAACCUGGUGGCGAGUGGCGAACGGGUGAGUAAUGCAUCGGAACGUACCUUUCAGUGGGGGAUAACGUAGCGAAAGUUACGCUAAUACCGCAUAUUCUGUGAGCAGGAAAGCAGGGGAUCGCAAGACCUUGCGCUGAUUGAGCGGCCGAUGUCAGAUUAGCUAGUUGGUGAGGUAAAGGCUCACCAAUGCGACGAUCUGUAGCGGGUCUGAGAGGCUGAUCCGCCACACUGGAACUGAGACACGGUCCAGACUCCUACGGGAGGCAGCAGUGGGGAAUUGUGGACAAUGGGGGCAACCCGGAUCCAGCCAUGCCGCGUGAGUGAAGAAGGCCUUCGGGUUGUAAAGCUCUUUCGGCCGGGAAGAAAUCGCACGGGCUAAUACCCUGUGUGGAUGACGGUACCGGAAUAAGAAGCACCGGCUAACUACGUGCCAGCCGCCGCUGUAAAAC
rnacentral:rRNA from 1 species